AUCCAGACAAGAGCACACAAGCACGCUCCUUCACGGUUGGUCCUUACCAGAGGACUCUGUGGCCAUAAAAAGAGCAGGCUCGAGAUGCCGUCUUCACUGACAGCGUUUUGCUGUCACUCGUGAUAACCACCCAGCAUCUACAAACGAAGGCUCUGCCAACAUCAGAAACUUCCCUGCAAGACUGACGAACGGCCCAGCUCAGACCAGGAGAUUGCUUUUGUCUUUGUGGCUCUUCCUGGACUGGUGUGUUAACCCUUUUUCCUAACCCCCUUCUCUUGAUGUUAAAUGUUACUUUGAUGUGGAAUAUUGAAUCUAUACUUUGAUAUAUUGGUUAAGCAUAUUAUGAUGUAUGGUUUGCAGUGUUGGCUGGAGUGGUUGGAGCCUGUGUGCCUGAGCUCUGACUAUGGAGUAAACAGGAAGUAUUAAAGAGACCCGUCUCCUCGGGAACUCCGUGCGGCUCAAGUGUGACUAAAGUCGCAUCAGUAUCUCUGACUUUGUGGAAAGACACAAAGGUGCACGGACCUGGUUGUCUGUGACCUCGCACCACUCAUGAGAAUUGGCACAAUCAGCUUAGCAGGCAUAGCUGGCACAGUGGAUUCUAAGGCCAAAGCCUGCACUAACAUUUAAAUUAGAAAUCGAGCCAAAUCGAGCCGUUUGAAAAAACAAACUGCCGCCCUCUCGAAAAAGAAACAUAAUCUCACUUCACCUUGAAAGUCUGGCUUCCUGAGGAAACCCUCAGGUGAUGGGGUUCUUUACCCACAUCCUAUAGCUCCAAGAGCUGACACGAUCUCGGCUGAUUCCAGGCUAGGAAGCUGGUGCAGCCAGAAAGGCGCAUAGUAAGCAUGGUCUCAACUUAGGAGAUGGGAAUUGGCCAAACAAAUUUUUAACUCGUCUGAAAGAAGAGAAAGCCAAUUAUUGCAUGAUCCCCACUCACACAGUUGACCAAGGUGGGAAAUCGAACAGUUGCCCAAAUAGAGUUGGAAGUCAGAAAGACUCCCUGUCUGAUCCCUGAGGGGAAACAAAUCCCUGCACUUUUAAUGCAAAAUAUCUCACAGAUUGCCAGACAGGAAAAGAGCCAGCUCAAAGAAUUUUAAGGAAAAGUAAAUCCCUGUCAGAGGUAAGUUUUAGGGAGGAACCCCUGCAGAGAACUUAGAUUACAAUGACCACUGGGGUGUGUAUAUACAGAAGGACCUACAAUAACUAGAGAAAGAGUUAUCGAUGAUAACUAUCAGAAUCGCAGACCUCAGGACACAAGCGAGGACAGAGAAUACACCACAGCAGAGUCACUAAAACUAAGAACGGAGUUUUGCCAAAGACAGAGCACAAUCGGACUGUCCCCCCAUCUGUGGGAGAAUGGAGCAGACACCAUGGCACUAUCAGGCACAGAAACGCCUCGGAUCCCUGCACAAGCAGGAAACGUCAUGAACUGUUAUAAAACUACCAAAUCAUAAACCAUUA